GCAUUCUUUAAAAGCUUGAUGCGUGUUCAGUUGUUGAAUGAAAAGUGCCUGGACAAUUAAACGGAGAGGCAUCAAUUCGUUCUGAACAGCGUUGAUGCACACCUCUUGCGAUAGCUUUUGGCAGCUAAGGCUACAAGCUAGAACUUUUGGGCAAAGAAUUUGCAAGAAUUGAGGAAUCAAUAGUGCUUCACCUGAAUUCAAGUUUCACCUAUUUGUCAAUGUAUAGAACAACUCGGUACAUUUUGCUUGUGCACUAACCUAAUGAAUUGCAGUGAAACUAACAAACUUGAAGUACUCACAAAUAUUAGCUUCAGGACAACAGCAGUGUGAUGCUGAUGUUUUUCCAUUUUUGUAUGUGUUUGACCUAAAUUAUAUUGACUGUAAAUGCGUUUAAAAUAUCCAUCAUUUUACCUGGAGGAAAGUGUUCAAUGCUCUGUACAAAUUGUCGUGGCUCUGCCUGUAUGAAAGCGGUAUUGCUUCAAUCAGUUCCAUGAACCGCUGCGGCCCCAGUUUCGGGUCAAGUGCUAUAUUAGCGAGAUACGCAUCCCACAGUUCAGCAACAACUGAGUUGCUCAUAGAAGGAGUAUGAUUCAUAUCCAAAUCAAAUGAUACGUAUGUUGAAAUUAUGCUCUCCAUCGUAGCCAACUCAAUGCUGAAACAGACAGAUUCAGCCCUGCUUUUUGGAAGGAUAAAAUCGCCCACAUGGGCAAGUGGCAACAGCGAUGCGAUCUGAUCCUGCAACUUUGAUUUGAUUUCGCUCCUCGAAUCAAGCUCUAGAGACUUGGAUAGCAUAGCAAAGUAGAACCCGACGGGGAUGAUUCUGCUAGACUUCUCCCCCGUGGGAAGUAAAUCAAGAAUGCCAUAGAUGCUAUAAUCCUUUUGAAGAACCCAAAUGGCAGAGCAAUCAGGUCCUUGACCCAGAGAUCUUGGCUCACGAAUUCCUUCACGCUUUUGCAGUUCCAAGCAGAGCUAGCUAAUGGCUCUAAUGUCAACACUGGUCGGUCGCGUCUCCUCUCUGGAUCAAGAAUCUCCAUGCAAGCCAUGAAAGCAAGAGAUUCGAUGCAACGGCUCACAAUUAAGAGAUCUUCGGCACAUGGAAGCAAAGUUUGGCACUUCUGUAGUACAAUUAAAGUGUCGUCCCAAUUUUGCAGAACCACUUGGUUGAGAUACAAAUCGAACCUCUCACACAGAUUGCCGGAGCAGUACUCUUCCGUCAUCUCGAGAAACUCAGCCGCACAUCGCAGGGCCGCUACAUUAAAAGGGUCGACCAAAGUGGAAGAACCGUAGACAAACAGGGUGAUCUUCUCAAAAAUCUCCAGUCCUCCUGGAAAAUCUUGCGGUAGCUCAACCUCGGUUGAAUCAUUCAACUUUCUAUUGAAAUAUCUGCUCUUGGAAGACAAAGGGAGCUGCAAGCACAAAAAGGAGCAAAAAACCAAGAAUCAGCAGAAGAUCCUAUCACCAAGCCGAACACGAAUGGAAGCAGGCAAUCCAGUUUCUUGGCUCCUAAAAAAUGAGUAAGGAGGUAAAAUUAUCUGGUUUCCGAAGAUCCUGUCUUCCAGUUACAACCCAUAUUAUGCAAAUUAUGAGACUCACAAAACAAAACAAACCAGCUGACCAUGAAAGAAUCUUGAUCUUGAGGAGGGCGCUGAUGUUCGGUGAAGAGAACGGACUCGACGCCACUGAAUUGUCUUUUGGACUGGCAGCUUCCAUUUUGCAUAACUGAUGAAAGUUCUUCCAGAGCAACGAUACAGUAUGUUUUCGCUUCAAGAACUUCAAGGUUGCUUGUUAGUGAAUAUCACUUCCUCUUAUCGACGUCCACAAAUGCUAGAAAA